rnacentral:snoRNA from 1 species
GUCGAGACUAGAGUCACAUCCUGACAUGGUGCUUGUUCUGGUGUGCUAGAAUUCUCCAAGAGAGCCGGGCGGUGGUGGCGCACGCCUUU